GCAUCUAUAUUCAUGGGUCCAUAUACAUCAGUAUGUAUUAGACUCAAAAUAUCAUUGGCUCAUUCAUCCUUUCCAGUAAAGGGCGACUUGGUCAUCUUUCUAAAAAGAUAGGACUCACAGGUCAGAAAUGAUUCACUAUCACUGAUGUCGAGGAUUCUCUCUUUAGAUAAUCUGUUUAUCCCACUCUUAUUUAUAUGAUCGAGUCUACAAUGU
rnacentral:lncRNA from 1 species